rnacentral:rRNA from 1 species
GGGUUGUGAGGUUAAGCGACUAAGCGUACACGGUGGAUGCCCUGGCAGUCAGAGGCGAUGAAGGACGUGCUAAUCUGCGAAAAGCGCCGGCGAGGUGAUAUGAACCCUUGACCCGGCGAUGUCCGAAUGGGGAAACCCAGUGCAAUCCGUUGCACUAUCGUUAACUGAAUACAUAGGUUAACGAGGCGAACCGGGGGAACUGAAACAUCUAAGUACCCCGAGGAAAAGAAAUCAACCGAGAUUCCCCCAGUAGCGGCGAGCGAACGGGGAGCAGCCCGGAGUCUGAAUCAGCUUGUGUGUUAGUGGAACGGUCUGGAAAGUCCGACGGUACAGGGUGAUAGUCCCGUACACGAAAGCACACAUGCUGUGAACUCGAAGAGUAGGGCGGGACACGUGGUAUCCUGUCUGAAUAUGGGGGGACCAUCCUCCAAGGCUAAAUACUCCUGACUGACCGAUAGUGAACCAGUACCGUGAGGGAAAGGCGAAAAGAACCCCGGCGAGGGGAGUGAAAAAGAACCUGAAACCGUGUACGUACAAGCAGUGGGAGCCUCUUUAUGGGGUGACUGCGUACCUUUUGUAUAAUGGGUCAGCGACUUAUAUUCUGUAGCAAGGUUAACCGUAUAGGGGAGCCGAAGGGAAACCGAGUCUUAACUGGGCGUUAAGUUGCAGGGUAUAGACCCGAAACCCGGUGAUCUAGCCAUGGGCAGGUUGAAGGUUGGGUAACACUAACUGGAGGACCGAACCGACUAAUGUUGAAAAAUUAGCGGAUGACCUGUGGCUGGGGGUGAAAGGCCAAUCAAACCGGGAGAUAGCUGGUUCUCCCCGAAAGCUAUUUAGGUAGCGCCUCGUGAACUCAUCUUCGGGGGUAGAGCACUGUUUCGGCUAGGGGGCCAUCCCGGCUUACCAACCCGAUGCAAACUACGAAUACCGAAGAAUGUUAUCACGGGAGACACACGGCGGGUGCUAACGUCCGUCGUGAAGAGGGAAACAACCCAGACCGCCAGCUAAGGUCCCAAAGUCAUGGUUAAGUGGGAAACGAUGUGGGAAGGCACAGACAGCCAGGAUGUUGGCUUAGAAGCAGCCAUCAUUUAAAGAAAGCGUAAUAGCUCACUGGUCGAGUCGGCCUGCGCGGAAGAUGUAACGGGGCUAAACCAUGCACCGAAGCUGCGGCAGCGACACUAUGUGUUGUUGGGUAGGGGAGCGUUCUGUAAGCCGUUGAAGGUGUGCUGUGAGGCAUGCUGGAGGUAUCAGAAGUGCGAAUGCUGACAUAAGUAACGAUAAAGCGGGUGAAAAGCCCGCUCGCCGGAAGACCAAGGGUUCCUGUCCAACGUUAAUCGGGGCAGGGUGAGUCGACCCCUAAGGCGAGGCCGAAAGGCGUAGUCGAUGGGAAACAGGUUAAUAUUCCUGUACUUGGUGUUACUGCGAAGGGGGGACGGAGAAGGCUAUGUCAGCCGGGCGACGGUUGUCCCGGUUUAAGCAUGUAGGCGGAGGUUCCAGGUAAAUCCGGUACCUUGUUAACGCUGAGGUGUGAUGACGAGGCACUACGGUGCUGAAGUGAUAAAUGCCCUGCUUCCAGGAAAAGCCUCUAAGCAUCAGGUAACACGAAAUCGUACCCCAAACCGACACAGGUGGUCAGGUAGAGAAUACCAAGGCGCUUGAGAGAACUCGGGUGAAGGAACUAGGCAAAAUGGUGCCGUAACUUCGGGAGAAGGCACGCUGAUGUGUAGGUGAAGCCCCUGCGGGCGGAGCUGAAAUCAGUCGAAGAUACCAGCUGGCUGCAACUGUUUAUUAAAAACACAGCACUGUGCAAACACGAAAGUGGACGUAUACGGUGUGACGCCUGCCCGGUGCCGGAAGGUUAAUUGAUGGGGUUAGCGGCAACGCGAAGCUCUUGAUCGAAGCCCCGGUAAACGGCGGCCGUAACUAUAACGGUCCUAAGGUAGCGAAAUUCCUUGUCGGGUAAGUUCCGACCUGCACGAAUGGCGUAAUGAUGGCCAGGCUGUCUCCACCCGAGACUCAGUGAAAUUGAACUCGCUGUGAAGAUGCAGUGUACCCGCGGCAAGACGGAAAGACCCCGUGAACCUUUACUAUAGCUUGACACUGAACACUGGUCCUUGAUGUGUAGGAUAGGUGGGAGGCUUUGAAGCGUGGACGCCAGUCUGCGUGGAGCCAACCUUGAAAUACCACCCUUUAAUGGCUGGUGUUCUAACGUAGACCCGUAAUCCGGGUUGCGGACAGUGUCUGGUGGGUAGUUUGACUGGGGCGGUCUCCUCCCAAAGAGUAACGGAGGAGCACGAAGGUUGGCUAAUCCUGGUCGGACAUCAGGAGGUUAGUGCAAUGGCAUAAGCCAGCUUGACUGCGAGCGUGACGGCGCGAGCAGGUGCGAAAGCAGGUCAUAGUGAUCCGGUGGUUCUGAAUGGAAGGGCCAUCGCUCAACGGAUAAAAGGUACUCCGGGGAUAACAGGCUGAUACCGCCCAAGAGUUCAUAUCGACGGCGGUGUUUGGCACCUCGAUGUCGGCUCAUCACAUCCUGGGGCUGAAGUAGGUCCCAAGGGUAUGGCUGUUCGCCAUUUAAAGUGGUACGCGAGCUGGGUUUAGAACGUCGUGAGACAGUUCGGUCCCUAUCUGCCGUGGGCGCUGGAGAAUUGAGGGGGGCUGCUCCUAGUACGAGAGGACCGGAGUGGACGCAUCACUGGUGUUCGGGUUGUCAUGCCAAUGGCACUGCCCGGUAGCUAAAUGCGGAAGAGAUAAGUGCUGAAAGCAUCUAAGCACGAAACUUGCCCCGAGAUGAGUUCUCCCUGAGACCUUGAGUCUCCUGAAGGAACGUUAAAGACGAUGACGUUGAUAGGUCGGGUGUGUAAGCGCAGCGAUGCGUUGAGCUAACCGAUACUAAUGAACCGUGAGGCUUAACCUUACAACGCCGAAGGUGUUU